rnacentral:rRNA from 1 species
AAAUUGAAGAGUUUGAUCAUGGCUCAGAUUGAACGCUGGCGGCAGGCCUAACACAUGCAAGUCGAACGGUAACAGGAAACAGCUUGCUGUUUCGCUGACGAGUGGCGGACGGGUGAGUAAUGUCUGGGAAACUGCCUGAUGGAGGGGGAUAACUACUGGAAACGGUAGCUAAUACCGCAUAACGUCGCAAGACCAAAGAGGGGGACCUUCGGGCCUCUUGCCAUCGGAUGUGCCCAGAUGGGAUUAGCUAGUAGGUGGGGUAACGGCUCACCUAGGCGACGAUCCCUAGCUGGUCUGAGAGGAUGACCAGCCACACUGGAACUGAGACACGGUCCAGACUCCUACGGGAGGCAGCAGUGGGGAAUAUUGCACAAUGGGCGCAAGCCUGAUGCAGCCAUGCCGCGUGUAUGAAGAAGGCCUUCGGGUUGUAAAGUACUUUCAGCGGGGAGGAAGGGAGUAAAGUUAAUACCUUUGCUCAUUGACGUUACCCGCAGAAGAAGCACCGGCUAACUCCGUGCCAGCAGCCGCGGUAAUACGGAGGGUGCAAGCGUUAAUCGGAAUUACUGGGCGUAAAGCGCACGCAGGCGG